rnacentral:sRNA from 1 species
UUUUAGCCCCGAUUGCAGUGGCAUCCUCUUGUAAGGACGAAGGACGAGCAUGAGAUAGAACGGAAAGCGGGUAUAAUA